rnacentral:rRNA from 1 species
UACGUAGGGUGCAAGCGUUGUCCGGAAUUAUUGGGCGUAAAGAGCUCGUAGGCGGUUUGUUGCGUCGGCUGUGAAAUCCCGAGGCUCAACCUCGGGUCUGCAGUCGAUACGAGCAAACUAGAGUGUUGCAGGGGAGACUGGAAUUCCUGGUGUAGCGGUGAAAUGCGCAGAUAUCAGGAGGAACACCGGUGGCGAAGGCGGGUCUCUGGGCAACAACUGACGCUGGAGGAGCGAAAGCGUGGGAGCGAACAGGAUUAG